AUUUGACAUUGUCAACAUUUUAAUUUGAGUUUUCUUGUAUUUACUUAUUUUACUUUUAUUUUCCCCAUCAUUUUGGGUUUUUACCACCUUAUUCUUUUACCCCAAAUUUAUCUGCCCAAAGCUGAGCCUUCUCCUUCACACGCAAAACUCAGCUUUUCCUCUUUCCUUGUUCACGUCAGAGUUGGACAGAGAGAAAGGGAGCCUCGUUCAGCUCUUCCCCUCCACGUUUCCAUCAUGCAAAGGGCAACUCCUCCAAGAACAUCUCCUCAGACCUUCAAAAGAGAGAACCCAGGCCAUAAAUCGUCACUCACCCUUCUCUCCUCACCUUUCCUCUCGUCCCUGGACACAUCAGUCCGUUUACGAGCCUCGAAACACCUAGUUCGAGAUCUCCGAUCAGAAAACGUUCUUCAUCAAAGUUGUUCGCCUAUGUCUCCUCUAUCUAGCCUCCAAAUUUCAGCUCCAUCGGAAUUGAUUUGAGACCUGUACACCCCUCGAAGCGGAAGCUGUUCCGGAGCAAGCCUGUUCCGGAUUUCUGCUUAAACUUCCUCUCUUGCUCUACCCGAAUCCCCAACACCUUGCUUGAGACUGAUACCAACAGUUGUCUCUGUUUCACUUUGCAUGUUCGAGACUGAGCAAACUUCUUGGCCUGUGGCUGGACUCGAUCCAAUCAGCUCCUUCAGCUCUCUUUCCUGUUGAAAUCCUCAAGAGAAGCUCAUCUUUUUUUUGUUAGUUUUUGGCUUGACAUCGUGGUGGAAUCUUGUGAAGUGGUGGUUGCUACAAGGUUGCAUUGAGGCCAAGUGCUGCAAGAGAAAGCUCGAGUUCCAGGAGAGGUCAGUUCCUCCUUGAGCCACCGGUGGUGGGCAGUGUGCACCAUGCCCUUGUUAUCUCCCCUUUGUCUCUAGCCUUGUGAUUAAUGAAUUCCGGAAAGUGAUUGGCUAGAUGGACGGUUGUGAUGGAAGUGUGAAAGAUGAUCAAUUGCCGUGGGAUUGUAAUUACGUGGUGACGAUCACGUGGAAGCGCAAACCGGUUUUUAUCUAUUACUUUUUCUCAAAACGAUAAAUCAUAUUUUUAAACUUAGAUAUGGGGGCGGGCAUGGGCAAUGACUGGAUGUAGGAGCCUAACCCCUACUUUAGUUUGUUUUGCAGGCUGUUGUUGUCGAAGCUUGGGUACGGAGGAUAAUCCUUGGAGGACACAAUUUGUUUUACUCUAUUUAAAGUUUAUUUCCUUUCGGCUUGCUUGAUUUCACUAAAGUUUUGUAACAUUAUGUAUGGUUGAUGAUGUGUGUGAUUGCUUACCACCAAAGUGGAACCCUAGGGUUAGAACCUCCAUUUGAGUUAGGUCCUAGUGGGCUAGACCUAGAAGACUCACGUAAAUUACCAUCUAAUGAACUUAAUGCAAACUUGGACUAAGAACUAAAAAUUGACAUAGGUUCUAAAACUCAACACAACACCACCUUCCUUUCCUCUUAUUCGCCUAGUUCGUAAUCUUGUGAUUACGAGCCAAGCCCACUAUACAAGCCCAAGAAUUUCGGGCUUAUAGAUUUCUUGUUUUCCAACCUAAAGGCCUUGUCUCUUUGAGGAAUUCUAGGCCCAAAACACUUACUCCAAGUGUUGCGGGUGUAGGGUUCCUUGGGGAGGCGGCGCUGUGGUAAUCCGGUCUCCGGGUCGC